ACUACAAACCGUGCUAUCGUCUUUCUGCCUUGAGCAGGAGGAAGGAAAGUCCGGACAGCGCAGAGCAACGCACCACCUAACGGGUGGGGCCUGGUGCAUAACCAGGUACAGCCAGUGCCACAGAAAAUAACCGCCCCGUCAAUGGCGGGGUAAGGGUGAAAAAGUGGGGUAAGAGCCCACGGUGCAGGCAGGUAACUGUUUGCGGGGGUAAACCUUGCGUGCUGAAAUGCCAUGUAUACGGUUGUUUGAGGGCGGCUCGCCCGAUGACCGAGGGUAGGCAGAUACAGGUGACGUGUGAGCGUCAUCGCAGAUAAAUGGUAGCAGUUCACCGUCAGGUGGAAACAGAAUCCGGCUUAUAGGUUUGUAGUUUUU
rnacentral:RNase_P_RNA from 1 species